rnacentral:rRNA from 1 species
UACAGAGGUCUCAAGCGUUGUUCGGAUUCAUUGGGCGUAAAGGGUGCGUAGGCGGCGCGGUAAGUCGGGUGUGAAGUUUCGAGGCUUAACUUCGAAACUGCAUUCGAUACUGCCGUGCUUGAGGACUGGAGAGGAGACUGGAAUUUACGGUGUAGCGGUGAAAUGCGUAGAUAUCGUAAGGAAGACCAGUGGCGAAGGCGAGUCUCUGGACAUUUCCUGACGCUGAGGCACGAAAGCCAGGGGAGCAAACGG